rnacentral:rRNA from 1 species
CCUACGGAGGGCAGCAGUAGGGAAUUUUCGGCAAUGGGGGGAACCCUGACCGAGCAACGCCGCGUGAUGGAAGAAGGACUUCGUUCUGUAAACUUCUGUUAUCAAGGAAGAAAGACGGAUGUAGGAAAUGACAUCCGAGUGACGGUACCUUAUGAGAAAGCCACGGCUAACUACGUGCCAGCAGCCGCGGUAAUACGUAGGUGGCAAGCGUUAUACGGAAUUAUUGGGCGUAAAGCGGGAGCAGGCGGCAGCAAAGGUCAGUGGUUAAAGACUGAAGCUAACAUGCAGUAAGCCAUAGAAACCGGGCAGCUAGAGUGCAGGAGAGGAUCGUGGAAUUCCAUGUGUAGAGGUGAAAUGCGUAGAUAUAUGGAGGAACACCAGUGGCGAAGGCGACGAUCUGGCCUGCAACUGACGCUCAGUCCCGAAAGCGUGGGGAGCAAAUAGGAUUAGAUACCCUUGUAGUC